rnacentral:rRNA from 1 species
CUCGUAGGCGGUUCGGUAAGUCGGGUGUGAAAACUCUGGGCUCAACCCAGAGACGCCACCCGAUACUGCUGUGACUAGAGUGCGGUAGGGGAGCGGGGAAUUCCUGGUGUAGCGGUGAAAUGCGCAGAUAUCAGGAGGAACACCAGCGGCGAAGGCGCCGCUCUGGGCCGUAACUGACGCUGAGGAGCGAAAGCAUGGGUAGCAAACA